UGCUAUGGCCAUACCACCCUGAAUGUGCCCGAUCUUGUCUGAUCUUGGAAGCUAAGCAGGUUUGGGCCUGGUGAGUACUUGGAUGGGAGACUCCAGAGGUACCUCCUAAAAAACAAACAA
rnacentral:rRNA from 1 species